rnacentral:rRNA from 1 species
UACGGAGGGCGCAAGGGUUGUUCGGAAUCACUGGGCGUAAAGCGCGUGUAGGCGGCUUGGCAAGUCGGGUGUGAAAUCCCGAGGCUCAACCUCGGAACUGCACUCGAAACUGCUUGGUUCGAGUCCCGGAGAGGGUGGCGGAAUUCCCGGUGUAGGGGUGAAAUCCGUAGAUAUCGGGAGGAACACCAGUGGCGAAGGCGGCCACCUGGACGGUGACUGACGCUGAGACGCGAAAGCGUGGGGAGCAAACAGG